GAACGAACGCUGGCGGCAGGCCUAAUACAUGCAAGUCGAACGCACCGCAAGGUGAGUGGCAGACGGGUGAGUAACGCGUGGGAACCUUCCUAGUAGUACGGAAUAACUCCGGGAAACCGGUGCUAAUACCGUAUAAGCCCUCCGGGGGAAAGAUUUAUCGCUACUAGAUGGGCCCGCGUCGGAUUAGCUUGUUGGUGAGGUAAUGGCUCACCAAGGCUUCGAUCCGUAGCUGGUCUGAGAGGAUGAUCAGCCACACUGGGACUGAGACACGGCCCAGACUCCUACGGGAGGCAGCAGUAGGGAAUAUUGGACAAUGGGCGAAAGCCUGAUCCAGCCAUGCCGCGUGAGUGAAGAAGGCCUUAGGGUUGUAAAGCUC
rnacentral:rRNA from 1 species